GAUCCUAGCUCAGGAUGAACGCUAGCUACAGGCUUAACACAUGCAAGUAGAGGGGCAGCAUGAACUUAGCUUGCUAAGUUUGAUGGCGACCGGCGCACGGGUGAGUAACACGUAUCCAACCUGCCGAUGACUCGGGGAUAGCCUUUCGAAAGAAAGAUUAAUACCCGAUGGCAUAGUUCUUCCGCAUGGUGGAACUAUUAAAGAAUUUCGGUCAUCGAUGGGGAUGCGUUCCAUUAGG
rnacentral:rRNA from 1 species